rnacentral:rRNA from 1 species
UACGGAGGGUGCGAGCGUUGUCCGGAAUCACUGGGCGUAAAGGGCGCGUAGGCGGCAUGCCAAGCGUGUGGUGAAAGCCCGGGGCUCAACCCUGGGAAUGGCCAUGGAAACUGGCGAACUGGAGUGUGGCAGAGGGGGGUGGAAUUCCGCGUGUAGCAGUGAAAUGCGUAGAGAUGCGGAGGAACACCGAUGGCGAAGGCAGCCCCCUGGGCUAACACUGACGCUCAGGCACGAAAGCGUGGGGAGCAAACAGG